rnacentral:rRNA from 1 species
AAAUCUAAACGACUCUCGGCAACGGAUAUCUCGGCUCUCGCAUCGAUGNNNAACGCAGCGAAAUGCGAUACUUGGUGUGAAUUGCAGAAUCCCGUGAACCAUCGAGUCUUUGAACGCAAGUUGCGCCCAAAGCCUUGGCUAAGGGCACGCCUGCCUGGGU